CCUGGCCUCCCUGGGACUCUCCUCUACAAAGACACACUUGGAUUGACUUAGGCUGCACUGACAGAAAGUCAAAAGCCUGCAACUGAAGCUCAUUUUAAAGCAGCUCACCUCUUGGCAAAUCAGCUCCCAGACACGAGUUGUGCUUGUUUUGUGUCCUGGUUGGAAAGGCAGUGAUGUCAUGGGACUGUGGUCUGAGGUACUUCUUCUCUGUGUCCCCUACGCUGCAGCCGGGCAGCAUGUGCAUCCUGCAUGAUAAGGAGGACUUGUCCAAACUGGAGAUGGUCCAGAGACUGGCCAAGGAUGGCUGCCGCUUCUUGCAGAAUCACAGCAAGGGCCCGGAGAGGACAACUGAGCCUGUCCAGAGUGACGAGGCAGUCCGUGUGUUGGAGCGGGGCCGCUGUGUGUUGGUCCUUCAGAGGAUGUCGUCACAGCCACCAGCGAGGGGAGGAGGAAGGGAGGCGGAGGAGGAGGCGAGGAAGAGGAGGUACACGGUGGUGUCAGGGACCCCGGAGAAGAUCCUGGAUCACCUGCUGAAUGACCUGGCACUGGAUGAGGAGCAGGUGGCAUCACAGGGCAAAGAACCAGACACACUUCUGGAUGACUUUCUGUUGACCUACCCCGUGUUCAUGUCAACCAGCGAUUUGUGCCAAGCUCUUCUAGGACAUUAUUGCUGCAAACGAUGCAGAGUGAAAGAGCAAGCCAUGGAGGCUCUGGAGAGGAAACAGAAAGUAGUGCACCUGGUGUCGCAGUGGAUGCAGCUCUGCAGGGACUUCCUGAGAGAGGACGAACAUGUCAAAUUGUUCAUGAAGACUUUGUACCGCUACAUGGUGGAUGACAUUUACGAGCACCCAGCGUUGGAGGGUGACGUGAGAGAGCUGCAGAAGCUCUACCAGUUGCAUCGCAGGAAGACGGCUGCUGCCCAGGCAGUGGGUCUCUCAGGGCAGGCUUUGUGCCAACGCACCCAUUGUGAUGCAAAGCACCAUCACAGACACAGGGGGCUAACCGUCAUAGCCGUCCAUCAAGCUGCACCGAGCACGGUGGAGGAAUAUUCCCCGCAAAGAAAGAGCAAAGCGCUUUUCCACCAAUUGAGCCUGAAAGACAACGGCCUCCUGCCCAGGGCCACGCAAAGAGAGACAAAGGAAGUGCCGUGUCAUGUGUACAUUACGAUGGACUCUUACCUGAGUAUGAGGGCCCAACCUGGGAUUGUGGCUCAGGAGCUGCUGCAUGUGGUGGCGGAGAGGAUGGACAUGUCCCAGGGGGAACUGGUGCUGGUGGCUGUCACUUAUCCUGGAGGCAGACUACUCCUGCAGCCUCACGACAGAGUUUUUUCUCAUUUGCUGCGGCCGGUGGGAAGACUGCAUGUUUGCAGGAAGGAUCUGGGUGAAGUCAUGAACCCAUUAACAGAAAACUCCAAACUGCAACAGAGAACUGCUCGCAUGCUUAGUUUAAACACUUGGGACGUGGCUGCAGCUCUCAGCAACAUUGACUGGACCAUCUUUGACUCCAUACAUGAGCAAGAGCUCAUCUACUUCACAUUCAGACGUCAUAAUAGCGGCAGCCACACGGCGGCGCUAGAGCGGCUGCUGCAGCGCUGCAAUGAGCUCCAGCUGUGGGUGAUGACCGAGGUGCUGCUGUGCACAGCCCUCUGCCAAAGAGUACAACUCAUCAAGAAAUUCAUCAAGAUAGCUGACCAGUAUGUGUGUGUGUGUGUGUGUGUGUGUGUGUCUUUGUGUAUAAAAUGUAUGUAUAGACAGUGGAACCUUGGUUUGCAUUAUUAAUUUGUUCCAGAAGGUCUGACUUGGAUUAUUUUCCUUUAAGAAAUGAUGUAAAUCCAAUUUAUCUAUUCCAGAAAGCCAAAAAUGUUAACACAAAACACAUUUUUAUAGUCCUACAAUUAUAGUUUUACUUGCAGAAAACAAUUUCAUUCGAAAUGCACAUAAAUACAGUCACCUCUUGUUUAUUGCGAUUAAUUUGUUCCAGACUCGACCGUGAUAAGUGAAUAUUCAUAAAUGGAAUAUGUUCGUAAUCGCAUAGAAAACAUGUCUACAAUCUUCUAAAUACUGUUUUUAACAUUAUUAGAGCCUUAUAGACAUGGAAUAACACCCAUACAAUAUAGUCACAUUUACAAUUGUAUUACCCAAUAUAGAAGAUCAGAGAAAAUUCACCAUAUGAGACGAAUAAAAUGACACAGACUCACACGUUAGCAGUUCCUUGUUGUUUUUCCUUGACAGCUUACUUCCCACGAUGGCUAUUGUCUCGUCAAUGUAUUGUAAUGGCGGCCUUAAAUGACUUCACACUCGUAUUACCCAAUAUCGUAGUCAUAAUAAAAGUAAAUAAGCCAUUUAAGACAUAAGCAAAACUCCACAGUAAAUGUGUUCCCUUGCAUCACAUUCCCUUCAAACAUCGACACCUAGUGGCCAAUGUAAAAUAUUACAUUACAUAUGUAUUGUUACAUAUUACAUAUUACAUAUUACAAGUACUUUGUAUUUUAGUUCAUUUAGUUAAUUAAUUUUUAGUUAAUUUAGUUAAUUUAGUUAAUUUAGUUAAUUAAUUUUUAGUUAAUUAACUAAAAUCAAUUAGUUAAUUUAGCCAUUUUAUGCUUCAAAAUCUUAAUUUAGGCCAAGAAUAAAUACAAUUUGCUUAAGUCAGUCAAUCCCAGCCAUUUUUCAAAAGACAACCCGCUCACUACCAGCCAUUGUAGACAAUUUUGACUGAUCUUUCAAGGCACACAGAAUAUUGUGUUCUAUGGCUAUAUAAACAUGGAACAAGUUAUAUAAACAUGGAAAAAGUUUGUUUCUACCUUUUCCUGUUCUUUAGUAAAUGUAUUAAAAACAUGACAAGAUGCACGCCAUAUUGUACGGUAACCUGAGAAAAACCAAGGUAAAACUGUGGUUAAAAUCUUCCAAAAAAACUCUCUAAACGGGGUGGAUGCUAAACAAGGUUCCACUGUUCCACUUUCUAAAUACAUUUUUAAACAUUAUUAGAGCUGUGUAGACAUGAAAUAACACCCAUAUAGUCACCUUUACACUCCUAUUAUUCUUUAUGUCAAUUUGCUAAUGCGCAGGUCACGGGAUCACUGCGGGGACACAAUAGACGGCCACAACUGCAUAGCAUGCUAGCGUGCUUACUAGUUAACCUCCAAUUAACUUAUUUUAAACUUAAGAAAGUGUUUCGAACGGAGUGAGGGAAAAAAGACAAAUAAGUCAAAAACUUAACCACUUCCACAAGGAAUAUGGGAACUUCUUUUCACUCUAUCAGACAGACAUGCCAUGGCUGACUACAUGCAGUGCGAUGUUAAUGUAAGGGAUAGCUCAGAUCAGCAGUGUACUACAUCAACGGUGACUUACCCCCCGAUUGGUUCCGUGAGUCUACUUUUGGUCGGAUUUCCGUGGCGAGGAAACGUAGUUCCGCUUAGUUGCUGGGUCCUAUAAGUAAAGAGUUUGGCUUCUCAAAACAAUAGAGUAAUACAAAAGAGUAAUACAUUUGCAUCAGAAAAAUGCCUCCUCGAAAAAAAAUCAGACCUCACAAAUCGCUCUGUGUUAUACUUGUCUCCCACCAUAUCCCCUGCGCACUGUCGCCUCUCCAUUCUUGUGUAUGUGAUGAAGACGCUCGCAUCUUCAUCUGCUGUGGAACACACACGUAAACAAGAUCCGUCGCAGAAGACGAUUUGAGCGUCUUCAUCACGUACAUAAGAAUGGAGAGCCGACUGCGCAGGAAUAUGACCACGAAACAGCAAUCGUUUAUUUAUUUUGAAAACCGCGAUAGAGUGAGGGAGCGAUCAGAUUUGAUCAGUCGAAUUUGACUCAGUUAACCGAGAUGUAGCGAGGGAUGACUGUAUGUAUAGACUGUAUAUGCAGCAGUUUUCAAAGUAUGAGUCGUGCCAAAAGAUUUUGGAGGAGGGACAGCAACUUGAGAAAAAUAACUUAAAACCCGCUGACGUCUAUUAGUUCACUUUGUACCGCACUUUGAAAACCAGCUAUGGUAUGGGGAUGCUUCCCCCUCUAGUGGUAUAUCAAUAAACUGCACCAAUUUAUAUGCUGUUGAACUGUUACAAGUGACAACGCUGCAUGUUGUUUGUCAGCUGCAAAGCACAGAGGAACCUCCACUGUUUCUUUGCUAUCAUAAUGGGCCUCAACACUGCAGCUGUCAGCCGCCUCAGUCAGACAUGGGAGAAAAUUCCUGGGAAAUUCAAGAAGCUGUUUUCAGAGCUGGAGACCAUCACGG